rnacentral:lncRNA from 1 species
GUCCCCACGAGCCCUGGAUGCCCCUACAAGGAACAGUUUUUCCUGGAUUCGACUUCCAGCCGCAUCAGAGCUGCCUAGGUGAGACGCAGCAGGAGAAGAGCCCUGGAGACUCUGCCUGGAGGUGUCACCAGCCGGUGCCUUUCUUGUGAAGGGCCUGAUGCAGACAAACGAGGUAAACUUGGAAGCCAUAAGGUUGAAGACGGCGGAGCUAAAACAAGAAAGGAGGCUGGAUCCCUGAGUCACCUUGUGGAAGGCUGCCUGCCUACCAGGAAUGCUACAUUUAACAUGGGGUAUGACUUAUGUGGGUCCUCUCCUUGGGUCUCACAAGGCUGACAUGUGAGUGAGAAACAGAUUUUUAUUGUGUUAAGACAUUGAAGGUAUGGGAUAUGUUUCUUACAUCAGUUGAUAUCGCCUUAACCAAUAUACCAGUUUGCACUGUGAAUGAGAAAAUGAGUCUGCAUCCACAAUGUCCAUGCUUUAAGAGCUUCUAGGAGUUUUAGGAGUUUAUUUGCCAUGCUCUAUAAAGUCUGCACAAUGUUUUAAUUCCACUUCACAGAAAGGUUUUCUUUCCAAACCCUCUUCAGGGGCCUUCCCUAUUAAAAAAGCCCAUUUAUAGAAACUACUACUUAGCAUUUUUGGAACUUGUUAUCCUAUUCAGCAGAGUCUAAGUCAGGAGGCUUUGAACUCGGACAAUUACUGCUCUUGAUUAACAACAAGAACUGAUGAGUUGGCCUUUCUAGUGUGCUAAGCAAACUCAGCCAAGCAGAAAAUAUCACUGAAGGGGAAACAACGGGAAGUGAUUUUCUUGGUUGCAUUAUGCGCCGUCGCGAUAUUUACACAUGUUUGUGGAUAAUGUGGGAACCUCUGCUGCUUGCAUGCCCUUCCAGAUGACACCACUGGGCUUGAAACGCCAUGUUUCCCACCUGACCUGGGCUGUAAAUGUCAUCCUGUGACUGCAGGCAGCCAGCCCCAGGGAAAAACCACAGCACUGGGAGUGGUCAGGCCCCUUGCAGGAUCCCCACUCCAACCCUUUCAAGUUCUAGCCCCUCCAGGUACCCUGGGGCCAGCACCUAGGCCUAGAGAUUUGUUUGUUUGUUUGUUUUUUAGAGAUAGGGUCUUGCUAUGUUGCCCUGGCUGAUCUGAAACUCUGGGCCUCAAGCAGUCCACUCACCUUAGCCUCCUGAGUAGCUGGGAUCACAGGCAUGAACCACCCAACCCAGCUGGGGUUAGAGAGUAACAGCAGCCUUGGCCUCAUAUUGUAAGACAGCUCAGUGGCCGGAUAGAUGGGUGUUCAUUUCUUCUCGCCCUCGCCAGCACUAGGUGUUUUUAAAAAAUGAUUUUUGUGAAGUCAAAUAGUGUUUUCAGUGUCGGAUUGAACAUUGUGCUCAUUUAUGAGUGUUCUGUGGAUACCUUUACCCAUGUCUCUAUUGAGGGUGGUAGGAUUUUUCAUAAAAUUGCAUGCACAUUUUUCAUGUAUUAAAGGCAUUAUGCCUUUUCACAUUCUUUAGAUUUUUCCAACUUCUUUAUCUUUGUAUUUUGUUAAAUGUUUUUGGAUACAUAAAACUAAAAAAAGAAAAUCAUAAGAUUAAAUAUUUCAAUCUUGUCCUUUGAGACUUUUCCAUCUUUUUAAGCUUAUAAAGUCAUAUUUCAUAUGGAAGUUUGAAAUAUAUUCAUCUAUAACCCCAUUCAUUCUAUUUAAAACUUUUUAAAGAAACUCUUGGCUCCACUAGGAAUUUUUUUGGAUGGAAGGUAUGAGGUAAGGAUCUUCCUGGGGGCCACAUUUGGGAGUUCAGAUCUGAGGGGCAGAAGCCUCUGGCUUUGGACAAACAGGGGCAGGUGUCACUGGGGUUAGGGGUGGCAUAGCACGGGCAGAGGUAGUGUUGAUGGGUGAAGAGCAGGUCCCAGCUGGGACUGCUCUCAGGAUCUGGGGGUCUCCUUCUUCUCAAAUGGUGUCAUGGACUAAAUUGUGUCACCCCCACAUUUAUAUGUUGAAGUCCUAACCCUCAGUACCUUAGAAUGUGACUGUAUUUGGAGACUGGGUCUUUGAGAGGUAAUGAAGUUAAAAUGAGGUCUUUAGGGUGGGCCCUAAUCCAGGGUGACUGAUGCCUGUGUAAGAAGAGAUUAGGACACAGACGCAUCCAGAGGGAAGGAGGUGUGAAGACACAGAGAGAAGGCUGAGAAGUAACCAACCCUGCCUGACACCUUCAUCUUGGACUUCCAGCCCCAGAAUUUCGAGAAAAUAAAUUGUUUCGGC